rnacentral:rRNA from 1 species
UACGGGGGGGCAAGCGUUGUUCGGAAUUACUGGGCGUACAGGGAGCGUAGGCGGUUGGAUAAGCCCUCCGUGAAAUCUCCAGGCUUAACCUGGAAAGUGCAGAGGGGACUGUUCAGCUAGAGGAUGGGAGAGGAGCGCGGAAUUCCCGGUGUAGCGGUGAAAUGCGUAGAGAUCGGGAGGAAGGCCGGUGGCGAAGGCGGCGCUCGUGGAACAUUUCUGACGCUGAGGCUCGAAAGCGUGGGGAGCAACAGGG